rnacentral:lncRNA from 1 species
GAAGAGCGGAGCCUGUGACACUGGGAUCUUAACUCCCUGUCUCCUGCUGCCUCCUGCCUGCUCUGGACCUCAGCCUUUUCCCACUGCUGCUCGAGCAACUGGACUCACAGAGGGGUCUUUCAAAAACCUGAGCCC